rnacentral:rRNA from 1 species
UACGUAGGGUGCGAGCGUUGUCCGGAAUUAUUGGGCGUAAAGGGCUCGUAGGCGGUUUGUCGCGUCGGGAGUGAAAACCAGGUGCUUAACACCUGGCUUGCUUUCGAUACGGGCAGACUAGAGGCAUGCAGGGGAGAACGGAAUUCCUGGUGUAGCGGUGAAAUGCGCAGAUAUCAGGAGGAACACCGAUGGCGAAGGCAGGUCUCUGGGCAUUAACUGACGCUGAGGAGCGAAAGCAUGGGGAGCGAACAGG